rnacentral:rRNA from 1 species
AUUGAACGCUGGCGGCAUGCCUUACACAUGCAAGUCGAACGGCAGCAUGAUCUAGCUUGCUAGAUUGAUGGCGAGUGGCGAACGGGUGAGUAAUACAUCGGAACGUGCCCUGUAGUGGGGGAUAACUAGUCGAAAGAUUAGCUAAUACCGCAUACGACCUGAGGGUGAAAGUGGGGGACCGCAAGGCCUCAUGCUGUAGAAGCGGCCGAUGUCUGAUUAGCUAGUUGGUGAGGUAAAGGCUCACAAAGGCGACGAUCAGUAGCUGGUCUGAGAGGACGAUCAGCCACACUGGGACUGAGACACGGCCCAGACUCCUACGGGAGGCAGCAGUGGGGAAUUUUGGACAAUGGGGGCAACCCUGAUCCAGCAAUGCCGCGUGUGCGAAGAAGGCCUUCGGGUUGUAAAGCACUUUUGUCCGGAAAGAAAUCGCACUUACUAAUAUUAGGUGUGGAUGACGGUACCGGAAGAAUAAGGACCGGCUAACUACGUGCCAGCCGCCGCAGUAACAC